AGUGAACGCUGGCGGUAGGCCUAACACAUGCAAGUCGAACGGCAGCACAGUAAGAGCUUGCUCUUACGGGUGGCGAGUGGCGGACGGGUGAGGAAUACAUCGGAAUCUACUUUUUCGUGGGGGAUAACGUAGGGAAACUUACGCUAAUACCGCAUACGACCUACGGGUGAAAGCAGGGGAUCUUCGGACCUUGCGCGAUUGAAUGAGCCGAUGUCGGAUUAGCUAGUUGGCGGGGUAAAGGCCCACCAAGGCGACGAUCCGUAGCUGAUCUGAGAGGAUGAUCAGCCACACUGGAAAUGAGACACGGUCCAGACUCCUACGAGAGGCAGCAGUGGGGAAUAUUGGACAAUGGGCGCAAGCCUGAUCCAGCCAUACCGCGUGGGUGAAAAAAGCCUUCGGGUUGUAAAGCCCUUUUGUUGGGAAAGAAAAGCAGCAGGUUAAUAACCCGCUGUUCUGACGGUACCCAAAGAAUAAGCACCGGCUAACUUCGUG
rnacentral:rRNA from 1 species